rnacentral:tRNA from 1 species
GCCCGGCUAGCUCAGUCGGUAGAGCACGAGACUCUUAAUCUCGGGUCGUGGGUUCGAGCCCCACGCUGGCGUA